rnacentral:rRNA from 1 species
AGUGAACGCUGGCGGUAGGCCUAACACAUGCAAGUCGAACGGCAGCACAGUAAGAGCUUGCUCUUACGGGUGGCGAGUGGCGGACGGGUGAGGAUUACAUCGGAAUCUACUUUUUCGUGGGGGAUAACGUAGGGAAACUUACGCUAAUACCGCAUACGACCUACGGGUGAAAGCAGGGGAUCUUCGGACCUUGCGCGAUUGAAUGAGCCGAUGUCGGAUUAGCUAGUUGGCGGGGUAAAGUCCCACCAAGGCGACGAUCCGUAGCUGGUCUGAGAGGAUGAUCAGCCACACUGGAACUGAGACACGGUCCAGACUCCUACGGGAGGCAGCAGUGGGGAAUAUUGGACAAUGGGCGCAAGCCUGAUCCAGCCAUACCGCGUGGGUGAAGAAGGCCUUCGGGUUGUAAAGCCCUUUUGUUGGGAAAGAAAAGCAGCAGGUUAAUACCCCGCUGUUCUGACGGUACCCAAAGAAUAAGCACCGGCUAACUUCGUG